GACUCAUCCCGAAAAAGAUUGGAUAUCCGAUAAAUCUGCUCCAUGGAUACAUUUAUCUGCGGCAGUGAACAGCUGGCACAAUGUAAUUGCCCGAAUGAAUCUUAGAUAUAAUUGUCAAGCAAGCAAUUCGGCAAACAAUUGCUAGAAAUGUGCUUCUUUUUGAGAAGAUCUUGCAUGAAGUAAAGUCAAACGUGUUGGCAUUUUACUACUGCGUAGUUAGCGUUUGUUCGUGACGAUUCUGAAAGUUGAUGGAAGAUUGUAUUUAAAAAUUAUUAUGCAUACGAAAAGCAAACAACAAACGAAAGUCACCAAGUAAUGCUGAAGAUUGUCUCAUACAUGAAGCAAGCUAGCCGAAAGCGAAAGUAAAAAUAAGCGUUCGACCAAUUCGAUUAAUAUUGAAAUUGAUGGGCGGAUGAUUAAUUCAAUGAAAAGUACACCUGCAGCUUAGAUUAUGGAAA